rnacentral:misc_RNA from 1 species
UUUCCGUAGGUGAACCUGCGGAAGGAUCAUUAAUGGGAAAUCAAAUCAAAUCAAAACAAAUGUUCUGUUGCACUGGGUGUGUUGUGUGGUGGUGGUGUGAGACAAGGAGAUUCAAUCAUUGGAGAUUCAAUCAUUGGAGAUUCAAUCAUUGGAGAUUCAAUCAUUGGAGAUUCAAUCAUUGGUGAUUCGAUCAUUCAAUCUCAAUCAUUGUAGAUUCAAUCAUUCAAUCUCAAUCAUUCAAUCUCAAUCAUUCAAUCUCAAUCAUCGCCACACAACACAACUAUCUAUCACACUCGAUCGACAACAACACACUCACUCACAACAGCUUACAACUUUUAACAAUGGAUCUCUUGGCUCUU